rnacentral:lncRNA from 1 species
CGACAUGGUAACAGAGAGAGAGAGAGGGGGGGUCGACAUGGUAACAGAGAGAGAGAGAGGGUCGACAUGGUAACAGAGAGAGAGAGAGGGUCGACAUGGUAACAGAGAGAGAGAGAGAGGGGGUCGACAUGGUAACAGAGAGAGAGAGGGGGGUCGACAUGGUAACAGAGAGAGAGAGAGAGGGGGUCGACAUGGUAACAGAGAGAGAGAGAGGGGGUCGACAUGGUAACAGAGAGAGAGAGAGAGAGGGGGUCGACAUGGUAACAGAGAGAGAGAGAGAGGUCGACAUGGUAACAGAGAGAGAGAGGGGGUCGACAUGGUGAGAGAGAGAGAGAGGGAAGUACAUGGUAAGAGAGAGAGAGGGGGGUCGACAUGG